rfam:Cronobacter sakazakii ATCC BAA-894, complete genome.
AGUUAUCGACGUAGGGUACAGAGGUAAGAUGUUCUAUCUUUCAGACCUUUUACUUCACGUAAUCGGAUUUGGCUGAAUAUUUUAGCCGCCCCAGUCAGAAAUGACUGGGGCGUUUUUUA